AAAAAAAUUGGUUUCUUUGAAGUUUGAAAACUUAAUAAUUCAUGACCAUGCACUGAUGUGUAUAUCAGUAUUCAUGACUCUUUAGUAGAUUUUGUCGGCCAUCUUGUUUGCGUGAUUGCCGCGCGUAGUAUACGCGAAUUAUAUCACCCGGGUGACAUGAUCAAAUCACCCGGAUGAUAUGCAAGGCGUGAUUGGAUGAUAAAUUUCAGUCAUGCUCAUGUGGCACAGACGUAGCUUUCUGAUUGGAAGCUUUGAAUUUGAG